rnacentral:rRNA from 1 species
GUAGUCCACGCCGUAAACGAUGAGUGCUAGGUGUUGGGGGGUUCCACCCUCAGUGCUGACGUUAACACAUUAAGCACUCCGCCUGGGGAGUACGACCGCAAGGUUGAAACUCAAAGGAAUUGACGGGGGCCCGCACAAGCAGUGGAGCAUGUGGUUUAAUUCGAAGCAACGCGAAGAACCUUACCAGGUCUUGACAUCCUUCGCUACUUCCAGAGAUGGAAGGUUCCCCUUCGGGGGACGAAGUGACAGGUGGUGCAUGGUUGUCGUCAGCUCGUGUCGUGAGAUGUUGGGUUAAGUCCCGCAACGAGCGCAACCCUUGAUCUUAGUUGCCAGCAUUCAGUUGGGCACUC